CGUCCAGACUCCUACGGGAGGCAGCAGUGAGGAAUAUUGGUCAAUGGGCGCGAGCCUGAACCAGCCAAGUCGCGUGAGGGAGGACGGCCCUACGGGUUGUAAACCUCUUUUGCCGGGGAGCAACGGGCGCCACGUGUGGCGUCACUGAGAGUACCCGGAGAAAAAGCAUCGGCUAACUCCGUGCCAGCAGCCGCGGUAAUACGGAGGAUGCGAGCGUUAUCCGGAUUUAUUGGGUUUAAAGGGUGCGUAGGCGGAGUGUCAAGUCAGCGGUAAAAUUUCGGGGCUCAACCCCGUCGUGCCGUUGAAACUGACACCCUUGAGUGCGCGAGAAGUAUGCGGAAUGCGUGGUGUAGCGGUGAAAUGCAUAGAUAUCACGCAGAACUCCGAUUGCGAAGGCAGCAUACCGGCGCGCAACUGACGCUCAUGCACGAAAGCGUGGGUAUCGAACAGGAUUAGAUACCCGCGUAGCA
rnacentral:rRNA from 1 species